UUACAGCCAUAUCACAUUGAAACACUGGUUCCUGUAUGAUCACUGAAGUUAAGCAACAUCAAGCCAGGUCAGUACCUAGAUGGAUGACUGCUUGGGAAUACCAGAUGCAGU